rnacentral:lncRNA from 10 species
GUGGAAACCACCAACCAAUUGGAAGGUGACUAGGGUGAAUAUAGCCCAAGGAACUUGCAAAACUCUUUGGAGGGCCAAGGAGUAAAGGACUUCAUUCAGGGUGUGACAUGGUGGGCCACACCCAUCAACAGAAUCUCAGCCAGGGCUUCAGAACUAAUGUAAAAAGUGAAAAAAUCUUAUAACUCAGUUACAAAGACUUAGUUUUACUGCUAAUAAUGAACGUGGAACUUAUAGUCCUUUGCCUUCUACUCUGUCCAAAUCUGAUGAGUUAUUUUAGCCUAGAAAGUUCCAUAAAAUGUAUACCACCAAAAAGAAAAAUUCUGACUGCAGGGAAGCAGUACACUCUGUAGACCCCGGAGAAAAAUAAAUCACCAUGAGAUUUGACAACAAUCAAUUUUUCACUGCACGCUAAUCAAGCAGAUAGAAAGAAGGCCAUGGAAAUGUCUGUUUGAAGUUCUGAAGUAAACUACCUUGAUGUUGACAAAGAUGAGACAAACUACCUGAUGAAAGAAAUCAUAUUCAAGAAAGAAUCUUUAGAGAGGAAGGCAGCCUAUUUAUUUACAUGAAGAUCAAAGAACCUUUGCAUGAAUUGAGACUACAUUUUUUCCGAGUGAUUUGCAAAAGAUAAUCCUCAUGGCUGAAUGAGAAAAGUGUUCUCCUUGCUGCCACCAUGUGACGAAGGACACGUUUGCUUCCCCUUCCACCAUGAUUGCAAGUUUUCUGAGGCCUCCCCAGCCAUGCUGAACUGUGAGUCACUUAAACCUCUUUCCUUUAUAAAUUACCCAGUCUCGGAUGUGUCUUCAUUAGCAGCUUGAGAACAGAUUGAUACAAAAAAAAAGAACUAGAAACUGAUGUUAUUAAUAUGCAAUGUAAUGGAGUCUUAAAACCAAGUAGGCCAGCAUUUAUAGUACAUUUUUACACGUAUGUCUAGAAUAGUUACCUUAAACACACAUGCACACAGAUGGAUAACAUCUGUAUUUGCAA